rnacentral:tRNA from 1 species
GAUGCUGUGCCGGAAAUCGGGUUAUCUUGAUGUGGUAAAAUAUGUAAGUGGAAGUCUUUCCAGCAUCU